ACUGAGUUCGUUUGGUGGGUAGA
rnacentral:miRNA from 14 species